rnacentral:tRNA from 1 species
GAGCCUCGGUGUGCGGGUUCGAGACCCGGUUUCCUAG